AAAGUUAAUAAAAAAAAGAAAAAAGAAAAAGUGGCCUCACAAAAUGGCGAUUUUACCCAUCAGCCACCGAGGCGCUAGAGGCCACACGUGAAGCUCUAUUAACCAAACACAGCAGUUUUAUUAUUAUUAAUAAUUGAAUGCCAGUAUGAUUUAAUGAGGUAUGCUUGGUGAUGUAUAAAUAUUAGAAUUUAGACUCACGUGCACGGAAACAAAGCCCGCGAAAAAGCGGAAGUCUGGCCAAUCAGAGGCAGCGCGUGCAAAGCCCGCGAAAAAGCGGAAGUCUGGCCAGUCAGAGCCAGCGCUUGCACACUACUGUCUACUCCCUGCUGGAAGGACUGAUAAUUACUUGAGCAGCUAAAUGACCCCCAAAAGCUCUUUUAAGAGCUCUUUCAACCAUUAAGCAUCUUUAUCCAUAUUUUGCAUCCUCUUUUCUUUUUUUUCUCUUCUAACCAUCCCUUAUUUCAACCAAGAGGCUAAAGACUACAGCCAAUAGCCCAUAGGAGGUGGGAUCUCACUCACAGCAUGUGCACAGUGUACUGUACACUGAUAGUGUCAGCUAUCUUUUAUUUGGAAGCUAAGCUAACAGGCUCUUGUGCUGUGGAGUAGUAGGAGGAAGUAUUAGGAGUUACCAUCCUAUUUUUCCCGGACCUGUCGGGUUGCCGAGAUAGUCCAAAAUGUCCGAUAUUCAGCUUUUUGCUUUCUGCAGUCGCCAUUCAUUGUUUACAUGCACACCUUUUGUUUCAAUCUAACUGAAUUCAUUCCGAUUGGUGAAUCCGAAGUGUAGUGUAGUAGUGUUUACAUUCAUGUUGAUGUGCAUUAAUAAGGAAAUUCCCGCUCCUCUGUGAGAGAUACGAGAGCGGUGCGUCUCACACGUGUUGCUCAUCAGUAAACAAUCCACCGGCCUUGCGUCACUCUCACUCGUCCUGAUCGCCACAGUAAACAUAAUCAAUGGUGACUGUAGAACGCAAAAGCCAAAUCCAGGAAAUUUUGGGCGAUCUCAAUCUCUGUCAGACUCGUCACGGAGACUCAUUAUUAGCUAGCCUUCUUGUGUUUAACUGCGCUCUCUCACUGGUAGGUGUGGCUUCCUAGGGCAGUGAAGCAAGUGCAUUCUGGGAGUUGUUGACUUUCAUCCGCAUGAGCCUAAAAUACAUUUUCUGGCUUUUCUCAGUCUAGAAGGCUCCAAAUAAAAAUAAAAAUAAAUCACAUUUCUACUACAUAAAUGACCCAUUUUAAAUACACAUUCAUCUUUCCAGAGCUGAAGUAUCCCUUCAAUGAAGCGAACUUUAAAUUUAAUAUUAGUCCUAGAGCAGAAAAAGUUUAAUACUUUUAAAAUACUAUAAUCACUUGACGCCAUUGAACGGCUACUAUCAUGCAAAAACUGCAACAAAUCCAUUAUUCAUGAUUAAAAAUCUAAACCAAAAGAUUACUUUUGUUUUAGUAUCAUAAUUGUUAAACCGUAAUGAAUUAAAUGAUCGCUACACUACACGGAAAGCCAGCUAAAAAUUAUUUGAUAGAUGUGUAAAGAAUCACUGCAGGAAAAAGGAGAAGAAAAAAAAAAAAACUAGAUUCAGUCCACUAUAGCACAUCCACUAUAGUCACUAUGACACAUGAUCAGACAUUGUUUUUGCUACUUUUAUUUUAAAUGUAUGGAUUUAUACUGUUCUACCAAACUCUUGUCUCUUUUGACCUGUCUGUAAAUACCUGUAAUACAGAAUAAUACUCUUGACUUGUGUAUUGUUUUAUCAUUGUCAUUUAAUGUUUAUUUGUUGAUUGUAAAGGGUGACAGAAUUUUACUGUGAACUAUCCCUUUAAUUUAUUAACUUGCUCUCCUAAUCUGCUGUUUCUCUCUCAUUAUAGGGUAGUGAACAUCCUGAGCUUGAACUCAUUAGGGAUAUUCCAUGCACAUUUUAUUUGUGACUCUGUAUUGUGUUCACUAGUGAUGAAUUACAAUGAACGCAGCAAUCUUAGGAAAAGGGCCCUCAAAAGAGUUGACACUUUUCUUAAAUCAGUGGCUCAUGAGGUGUAUGACCAUACUGAUAAUCUUAACAACUCUCCUGUUAGCAUUCUUCCUGGUGGCAUUCCCUCUGUCUGCAGACCUUCAGAUUUGAAUCCUACUUGCAUCUCUGUUAGUGAGAAUACAAACAGUAGCCAUGAUUGUAGCAGUACUGGUGAAACAAAUUAUGAAAGUGAUCUCAGAAGGAGCAUUACUGACUGGGCACUUCGUUUUGGUGUAUCUCUCAUUGCACUCUCUGCUUUAUUGGCAAUUCUUAGAGUGCAUUUACCAUUCCUGCCAAAAGAUGGAAGGUCACUGUUAAAAACGAAAAUGGAGUACAAUGUGGAGAUGAUUGCCGGUGGAUCUUUCCACUAUUUUGGUAUUGUCAAUGCUUUCAGAAACACUUUGAGAAGCGUAUGUUCUUGUUUUACAGACGGGCACACAUUUAACAUGCAACUAAAUUUUGACGGAAUCCCACUUUUCAAAAGUUCUUCAGUUCAACUUUGGCCUAUUCUUGGCAUGUUCAAAGGUCUAUCUAAGAAACCUGUUGUCGUAGGGUUGUUUUGUGGGACCACUAAGCCAAAAAAUCUUUCUGACUAUCUCAGUCACUUAGUUUGUGAGUUGCAAAAUUUAAGAAGAGGUUUUGUUUUUGGUGGCAAGACUUUCUUUGUCAAGGUAACGUCUAUCAUGUGUGAUGCUCCAGCACGAGCCUUUAUCAAAGGUAUAAAAUCUCAUACAGGAUACUAUGGCUGUGACAAAUGUCAGCAGAAAGGUUCCUAUGUGAAACACCGCAUGACAUUUCCUGAGAACGAUGCCUCCUGUAGAACAGAUGAAGCUUUUCGACUGGGAUUAGAUGAGGAACACCAUCUAACACCCUGUCCUCUUCUAGAAACUGACAUUGACAUGGUAACUGGUUUUCCUCAUGAUUACAUGCACCUUGUGUGUUUGGGUGUAGUGAGACGUCUAACGGAUAUGUGGUGUGGUUCAGUGGGCCCCCUGCGUACAAGGCUUUCGAGCAUUCAGGUCUUGGGUAUCUCUGAGAGACUGGUAGCAUUAAAGGAAUUCAUUCCAGCAGAGUUUGCCAGAAAGCCUAGGGCUCUCAGUGAGAGACUUCGUUGGAAGGCAACUGAAUUCCGUCAACUGUUGCUGUACACAGGCCCUGUUGUUUUAAAGAGUGUGUUGCCUCGCCAGGUUUAUGAUAACUUUAUGCUGUUGUCUGUUGCCAUCUACAUUUUGGCAAAUUCAAACUAUUGUAUCGAAAUGAAUGAUUUGGCUCACUCCUUUUUGGUAUCAUUUGUUGAGCAUUAUGGCUUGUUGUAUGGAAAAGAGAUGGUGGUAUACAACAUUCAUGGCUUGGUACAUCUUGCUAGUGAUGUUAAAGUGCAUGGUCCUUUAGAUGGCAUAUCUGGCUUCCCCUAUGAAAAUUAUCUUGGUGAGCUUAAGAGAUUGGUAAGGAAGCCUCACAAUCCACUUGCACAGAUUAUCCGCAGGUUGUCAGAGCAUGAGGAAAGGAACUAUUAUUCCACUGAUGAAAUUUCACUAAUGUGCCCCCAUAAAAAUGGACCCAUACCACAAACUCUGACAGAAGAAGUACAUCAGUUCAGACAGCUUACUGUUGAUGGUGUCAUGCUGCGAAUAUCGAGCAGAGAUGAUUGCAUUGCUAUUCAUGGCAAAGUGAUUUCAGUAAAAAACAUAAUUGCUUAUGGGGGUAAAGAGUAUGUUAUGUUUCAAGAGUAUAGAGAGAAAGAGGCCUUAUACACUUACCCUCUUGACUCCAGAAACAUGGGAGUAUUCAUCGUGUCCAAUUUGUCAACAGUGAUGCACUUUACUGAGCUCACAAAGCCCUGGCAGAAGUGUGUGAGGUUGCCUCUGGGAGACAAAUUUGCAGUCUUCCCUCUGACUCACACAUCUUAAUAAUAUCACCAAUUAAUGUACAUAGUUCUUGAGAAGCAGCAACACCAUUUCUGGAUUAUAUUGUGGGACAUGCUUUUCCAAUGUAUCAUAUCGUAAUCUUUGAAACCACAAAUGAAGUCGAGGUUGUCCCCCAUAAUUGGGUAAGGGACAAUGUUUGUAUGUGGCCUCCAUACAAAUAUGAAGAUAGAGUUAAAGCCAUAAAAUCAAUGGUAAAGCCAGGACCAUCCUGGACCCCCUUCAAAAUCCGGAUUAUUUUUACUAGAGAAACAUAUGAAGAAGCUCGCCAAAAACUACCAGAGGCAGAAUUAAACACAGACCUUACAGACGUGGACUCGCCCCCCGUGAGAAGAAAAAGACACAU